UACGUAGGGCGCAAGCGUUAUACGGAAUUAUUGGGCGUAAAGAGCUCGUAGGCGGUUUGUCGCGUCUGCCGUGAAAGUCCGGGGCUCAACUCCGGAUCUGCGGGGGGUACGGGCAGACUAGAGUGAUGUAGGGGAGUCUGGAGUUCCUGGUGUAGCGGUGAAAUGUGCAGAUAUCAGGAGGAACACCGCUGGCGAAGGCAGGUCUCUGGGCAUUAACUGACGCUGAGGAGCGAAAGCAUGGGGAGCGAACAGG
rnacentral:misc_RNA from 1 species